rnacentral:sRNA from 1 species
GCACCAUGCUGCUUCUCACCUCCAUGCCUUUACCCUUGCUGUCCACCUGCCUGGAAUGCCCUUCUCCUGCUUCUCCACCUGGCUAACUCAUCCUUCAAGACUCCGCUCAGGGGACAGCUCCAGGAAGCCUUUCCCGCACCUCCCAAGCUGGGAGCCUGGCUCAACCCGUCAGUGAUUCAAGUAAGAAUCAAGGUCCUGUAGCCACAGAGCCAGACAAGGAUCAAGGUUCUGUGGUCCCAGGCCUUCUGAAAGGUCAAGGUCCUAUGGUGCAAGAGCCUCUGAAGAAGCAAGGUUCUGUGGUCCCAGGGCCUCCAAAGGAUCUAGGUCCCAUGAUCCCAUUACCAGU